AACGUUAUACGGGGAUAUUAAAACUAGAUUGUUUAUACAUUUUCAGGCUGGUAAAAUUCAUUGUUUCAAUACAUUAUGUCCCGGCUUUGUACAAGUAAACCAUGACAUACCUCUUGAUACUCCAUUCAUGAAUAUUUCACAUCGUGGAGGAGAACAGUGGGGUAUAACAGUACACAUUGAUCGGGUACAUUUUAUAUUAUCUUUAUUUUUUUUAUUUAGAGUCUUUGAAUAUUUCAUACAGAUAUAGGAAUUAUAGUUAAGAGAUAACAUAAAUAUUAUUAUGAUAACUUAUUAAUAUUAUUUAUUUUUUUUUAAAAAAGGACUUAUCAGGAAAUUGGUGGCUUUUAAUGACACCAAACUUUACGCGAGUAGGUUUCUGGCCACAAAGUCUCUUCACUGACUUGAAAAGCUUUGCUACGAAUGUUGAUUGGGGAGGAGUUGUAUAUAGUCCACCAGGUGUACCAGAACCUCCGAUGGGCUCAAGCCAAUUUCCUAUUGAAAACACUUUAUAUGAUGCUUAUUGUACUGAUGUUACAAUUGUAAACGAGAAAGGAAAAACAAUUGAAGUAGAUUCAACAAUCACACAUACCGAUUAUCCAUACAAGGUUGAAUUUAAAGAACUUUCACAUGGUGCAAAAGACAAGUAUUUUGUUAUUUAUGGGGGACCAGGUGAAAGUACACAUGUUUAAUAGGAAAGAAAAUCUUUCAAAUCAUGAAAGAAGUUGAAGAAAAUUGUUCCAAUUUGUUCUAUAUACACCUUUAAUUUGAAUGUUAUAUUAUCUUCCAAAUAAAUGCGAAGGAAAAUGGUGCAAAAUACCUCUCAAUUUUUACUGUUGAUCUUGUCAUUACCAUUAAAAUAGA